UGGGGAAUCUUGCGCAAUGCGCGAAAGCGUGACGCAGCAACGCCGCGUGGGGGAAGACGGCCUUCGGGUUGUAAACCCUUUCAGUUGGACGAAGCUUUGGCCGUUAAUAGCGGAUCAGAGUGACGGUACCUUCAGAAGAAGCUCCGGCUAACUACGUGCCAGCAGCCGCGGUAAUACGUAGGGGGCUAGCGUUGUCCGGAAAUAUUGGGCGUAAAGCGCGUGUAGGCGGUUCAAUAAGUCUGCUGUAAAAGUCGUGAGCUCAACUCACGAAGGCCGGUGGAUACUGUUGGACUAGAGUGCGGAAGAGGCGAGUGGAAUUCCUGGUGUAGCGGUGAAAUGCGCAGAUAUCAGGAGGAACACCAAUUGCGAAGGCAGCUCGCUGGGACGCAACUGACGCUAAGACGCGAAAGCGUGGGGAGCGGAACAGGAUUAGAUACCCUGGUAGUCCACGCUGUAAACGAUGGGCACUAGGUGUGGGGGGUGUCGGACU
rnacentral:rRNA from 1 species